AGCUUUGCGCAGUGGCAGUAUCGUAGCCAAUGAGGUUAAUCCGAGGCGCGAUUAUUGCUAAUUGAAAACUUUUCCCAAUACCCCGCCAUGACGACUUGAAAUAUAGUCGGCACUGGCAAUUUUUGAUGGCCUCUUUGGAGG